ensembl:snoRNA Small nucleolar RNA SNORD2
CAGUGAAAUGAUGGCACACCAUCUUUCGGGACUGACUAUAAAUGAAGAGUUCCUUCAAUAUACUGAUCACUU